UCUGUUUCUUAUUCUCUUUUUUGGUUAUGGAAUUUAUCGCACUUCAAUUUAACCUUCUUUCAUAAUUAUAUGUGAAAGUUGCCACAUUCAUUGUAUGCUCAUUUUCCAUCUUCUAGGCUUUUUCUUGGUUGGUUGGUUGGUUUGCCUAUCUGCCUUGAUGAUCAGACCUAAUGCAUAUAAUCUUAUUAGAGAUAAAUUUGGGUGCACUGUUGAUUGUUCGUGUGGUUGCAGUCUUUCAGAUACAAGUUGAAGAAUAUUAAGGAAACUGCGGCUUCCAAGAAGCUUCUACAAGAAAGGAGGCUCAUGGGCAGAACAAAUGAGAAUUUAGCAUUCCUUCAAGUUACAGUGCAGAUUAUUUCCAACAUGGCCUGGAUUACGCUGCCAAAUUUAGUUGAGGAAAAUUGCAGAACACCCUGAGCUAUACAAGGACAGAGGUUCACAGGAUCAUGGUGCUGGAACCAGAGCAACUGACAAUAGCACUGAUGCAGCAGGAAUUAGGCAAGCUGCAACAGAUGAAUUCAUGAGCGCUUAGCAAACGAGAACCAAGAUAACCUGCACUUUAUACUUUGCAGAAUCCCCACCCGGACUGAUAUGUGAAAUAGUAUGUGAUGGUUGGUGUCUUAUGAUGGGCAAACCUGUGAUCACCUGUGGCUCAAGUUUGUUCUGUUAGCAACACAAAAGGCUUGUUGCUGCAAAAGCUGUUGCCACAAUUGAUUGUUGUGUAGUAUUUUGCACAUUUCAAAUAGAUUAUAGAAGCCUGUGUGGCUAUAAGAUCAUGUGAUGUCACUUCAAAAUUUUCUCAGGGGGCUCUGAAUCUAUCAAUAUUGCUUGGGGGUGCGUAAUUAUACAUGGCAGUAAAGUUACAGUUUAUUGAUA